rnacentral:piRNA from 1 species
AGAUAUUGGUAGGUCAAAUGAAGAU